UACGGAGGGUGCAAGCGUUAUCCGGAUUCACUGGGUUUAAAGGGUGCGUAGGUGGGCAGUUAAGUCAGUGGUGAAAUCUCCGGGCUCAACCCGGAAACUGCCAUUGAUACUAUCUGUCUUGAAUAUCGUGGAGGUAAGCGGAAUAUGUCAUGUAGCGGUGAAAUGCUUAGAUAUGACAUAGAACACCCAUUGCGAAGGCAGCUAACUUAGCGAUAAAUGACGGUUAAGCCCGAAAGCGUGGGGAUCAAACAGG
rnacentral:rRNA from 1 species